AGAGUGUGCUGGAGCUGAAAGUCAUGACUGUGAGAUUUGUGCCUGAAGAUUGAAAAGCUGUGUCCUUUGCACUUUGCAGGUAACAUGAACACACAAUGUAAUCAUAGUGCCAUUGCAGUCAGUUGUAAAAGCAAACUUAUUUGGACAAGAGAUUUCAGCAGUACUGUUAUCUGAAAGGGAAUUACAUUCUUAGUCUGUUUUUUCUUUAUUUGUUAAUGUUCUGAAGCCAUCUUGCAGAUUCUUUUACCUUACCUUCUCGUAUAGUAUAGCCACUGAAUAAGACCUUGUUUCCUCUUUAAUCAUGAACUACCUCCCACUGCACCAAGAAGAAACUUCUUGUUUUCCAGCUAACUACCAACCUACCUGGGGGAAGAACUUCAAAAAGUUAAAAUUUUGAAUCUCCUUCCUUGCAGCAUCGUUACAAGAAGAGGGACUUUUUCAGUUACUCUGUUCAUUACUAAGAUGGGUAGGAGUGAGCAUGACAGAAACCUUAAUCAACAAACAAGCAACUUGGGACUGAGAACAGUCAGUUGCACAAAAAAGCAAGAAAAUAAUAGUAUCCAUGUGCCAGCUCUGCCUUUUACCUCUGUCUGUUUCUGUCCUUUCUAGUUCUACUGGUUAUAGAAGGCACUCCUUUGAGCAUGCAGAGGUGACAGUUGAUUGUUUCAAACUGAAGUUAUGGAAACCCAUUUGAUUUUAUGUUUUAAUUAUGAAGGCACAUCUAAUUUUAAAGCUACUUCUAUUGCUCAUGCAUUUCUACUUGCUUAUUAUCUUCCUAGCUUCACAAUAAUACAUUUGAUUGGAUGGUGUCAUCAUUCUGUCCAGAUGUGCAUGUGGCAACUUUUUAUCUAUGUGUGAUAAUCCGUAAAUGAAUAGAGAAGUAUCCAAGGUUGGGAAAUUCUCCUACAUAGACCAUUUUCACUAGGCUUCAGUUUUUCCUUAGAAAUCUAGUGGGACACCAAGAGCAUUUUGCAUAUACUCACAUAAUCUAGCUCCUUCUGAAAUAGUUUUAAAGGACUGGGUUGUCUUUCCAAUAAUUUCUUUGCUCUAUUACUCUUUACUUGUAUGCUUUGGCCAUUCAUGAGUAGUACUGAAAAACAGCGAACCUAGUUUUCUAAUAUUUAGCUCAGAAAACUCAAAGAAAUGAUUGGUUAAUUUUUUAAAAUAAUUUUGUUUUGUUUUGCCAAAUUCUCCUUUUAGCAUGCAAUGGUUAAGCUUCGUAAUGUCAAAAUCAGAACUGGGAGCAAGUUGCCAUUUGUAUGAUGACUUUUUAUAUUGUUGUGUCACUGGUGCAUGUGUGUCAUGCAUUUGAAUCAGACCAUCCCUUUUGGAGCACUCAGAGAAAUCAGACCAGUGUCUGAAGACCAGGGUUGCCCAUCCAGAGGCAGCAUGGUUUGUAAAGGUUGCCCACCCUGCACUGAUGGGUACAAACAUACUGUGCUGGGACCACACGACCCCCUUUUCACCAUAAACAGCAGCAGGUAGUUUAAGCUGCCUCAGAUUUGUUCACAGUGCAGACAAAAAAACAGACUGUAAAAGUAGCCACACCCCGAUGCAAGAACCUGGAAAAAGGUGUGUGACAAAUGACAGUACUGAUGCUUAUAAAAUAUAGGUUAAUAAACUAUAGGUUAGCACCUAUCCUAUGGCAGUGGUUAGUGCCUGUAUCUGUACUAACUGUUCCAUGGGGUGUAGAUCACAAGCCUUUAUUCCAUUCGCAUUUGGUUCUUACUGGAGCCUGUAAAGCUUCUCUUGACUUUAAGGGUGGGGAGAGGACAGUCUCAUCUCUCCCUGUUUCCAACCAAGCGCUUAUUUUUUUCUCCAUCAGUGCAAAAUCUCAGCUUGUUAGGAAAGUCUGUCUUGCAGCAGAGUGUCUGAAUGUACAAAUCUGCUCACAAUCACAGCUGGAGUGGCUUAUAGUGGAGACAGGUCGUGCUGGGAUCUUUCACUUUGGCACCAAUUAUAUUUUUCUAUGAAAGCACAAGAGAAAAUACGACUUCGCGAUUUAAAGUCAAUAGAAUCUGCAGAGCAUAGAGCAACUUGUCUUUUCAUAUGCUGCUCUUUGUAGAUACGAUAUGUUAAGAAAUUAAACUCAUGCCUAGCCCUGGGGCUUAGUUGCCUAUCUGUACUGUCAGAGUUGCCUAUCUGUACUGUCAGAUCUGUCCAACUAAGAGAAAAUCAUCUGAAAGUAAGGCCCAAGAAUAUUUUGAAGAAAGUGCUGUUGGGGUAAGCCCUGUCAAGACUUGGUUACGAUGAAACAAACCUCUUAGUAUGCGAUGCUUUAAAACAACAAAAUGGAAUAUACUUCAUGGGCUUUUAAAACUUUGCUGCUUAAGGUAAUUCAGAGAAUUUACUGGACCUCAGUGAGCUUUGGAAUAACGAGCCUUGUAACUUCCAAAAAGAGUGAGAAAUGGAAUAAUGCAGAACUACUACUGGAUUGAUGGUGCACUUGCUCAAGAAUUUUGCUGUUCAGGACCUAUGAUUUCUUAGAGCUUUAAUACCAUAUCCUGAAACUUUAAUUAUAAAAUAUAACAUUGGACUCAAGAGGGAUUCCGAACAGAUGAUCUGUCAAAAUUUUCACUAAGGGUUGUGCUGAAGCCUGGUUUAUUCAUUUCACUUCCUUUUGCCCAUGAGCCCAGGUAGAAUUUGACUGCUUUGACUGUGCUUUUGCUUUGAGUUAUUAGACUCAUACUAAACCUCAAGAAAACCUGAAACUGUAGUUGAAGCUCAAGACAAGAAAAGUACGGAAGUAAAAUGAGAUUUGAAAUAAAAGCUAAGCUUAUUUUUUUGCAUGAUCAGUGAUAUGCAAUGUUAUUCUAGAUCAUUCCUGUUACUGCUUAGUUUUCUGCAGUGACAUGUAAAAUCAUUAUAAUUUUUAAAAUAGUUUUGCUACUCAUUUGGCAACUACUUCCAGAUCAAGAAAAGAACUCCGACUGUUCAUCUGAAUCUUUCAGAGAACUUGGCCUUGUUUGCUUUUUACUGCUAGCAAAUGUUGCUUCAAGAGAAAGUACAAGCUGUGUCAUACGUAAUGGAGCAGUAUUUUGACUGGGUUAGAUUUUGGUGAAGAUUCUGAUGUUUUCUUCCACUGAAUAUGAAUGUGAAGUGUGAGCUCAUACAUGGUAUUUACACCACCUGAAGUCAGAAUUAGUGGGUAUUUGCACUAGAAGUGCAAUUGACAGAAUAGUGUAUGACUCAUUUGAUCAAUCACAGCUAGCCAAUGCCACUAAAGCAAUAAAUAUUGAACACUUCAUAGAAUAGCUCAUGAUGCAUCUGGAGAUAAUAAUCUCCCUCCUAGAUAAUUGUUUGGAUAAUUGUGUUGUACAAUGGUUUUGGAUAAUUAUCUGAGUAAUGAACAUAUUUAGAGGAACUGUGGUCUUCUCUUACAGUGUAAUGACUAUAAAAGUUACAAAUUAAUAUGAUAAUCUAUUGGCUUUGGUCAGUCAGUCAUUUAUUUCAAAUUACAGUGGAGCAAAAGAGUGAUGAUUCCCUUUUUGAAUUAAACUGCUUUAGCAAAUUUGGUGUGCAAACACUCGCAUUUGAACCCCUACUGCCCUGUUUUCUGUUUUCUUUACCUUUAAUUUUCCAUCCAGGGGCUUAAGGCAAAUGGGCAGUUUUGCUUUAUGGCUAAGUGGCAGCAUGAUCUCUGCAGUAAUAUCAGCAUUAUAGAGGCAUGUGCUCAGCAGAGGUCCAGACUCCUUGCUUUUUCUCUCCUUUGUGUGAGGAUUUUGCUUUUGCUGUAAUUGUUUUGGAAUUAGAUUGUGCUGUGGAAUGAGUCAUCUGCACAGACCACAGACCAUGGGCAUCUUUGCAGUUUCUUUUCUCAAACGAUAGCCUCACUGUUUGCCUCUUUUUUUAGCUUGUGCUGAGCGCUGCUGUGGGGUACAAGAGAUAGAGUGAGGUGACUGUAUGGUGCUGCCACCAGCUGCCCUGGGGGAGAGAGGAGGAGGGAAAAGCAGAAGCCCCUCUCCUGAGAGAAGUACUAAGGCACCCCUGGAGCUCUUCUCAGCCCAGUUUACUGAAUUAAAGUUAAAGUGACUGAAAGUCAGCUGAGUAAAAGAAAAAGAAAGAGAAAAAAAAAGAAAAGAAACCCAAGAAAAAGCCAUAGGCUUGACUUUGAAAAAGCCUUCUGAGUUCAGUCUAAAAUCUCUCUCUGCCAUGAAUAAAAAUUUAUGUGCAAAAACUAUGAAGGAAGGUAACUGGGCAAAUGUGCUGCUUUUGCACAGCUUAGGAACCAUGGUGUCUAUCUAAUUCUCCAAUUUACUGGUGGUGGGGAGAGUUCUCUGCGGUAGUUCAGCUGAAGUGGAUUCAUUUUCUGGCAUUACAAAGCCUGCUGAUGCAUGCUUUGUGCAGUUCAUGCUAAUCAACAUUGCAUGCUUCAUU
ensembl:lncRNA